GUGACAGAAGAGAGUGAGCACAAAUGGUGUUUUCUUGCAUGAUUUCUCCCUCACAUGCUUGAAGCUAUGUGUGCUCACCCUCUCUCUGUCAC
rnacentral:pre_miRNA from 1 species